AGAGUUUGAUCCUGGCUUAGGAUGAACGCUGGCGGCGUGCCUAACACAUUCAAGUCGAACGAAUGAAUACCUUCGGGUGUUCAUUAGUGGCGGACGGGUGAGUAACGCGUGAGCAACCUGCCCCUGUGAGUGGAAUAACGUCUGGAAACGGACGCUAAUACCGCAUAAUACAUGAUUGUCACAUGGCGAUCAUGUCAAAGAUUUAUCGCACAGGGAUGGGCUCGCGUUGGAUUAGUUAGUUGGUGAGGUAAUGGCUCACCAAGACCGCGAUCCAUAGCCGGACUGAGAGGUUGAACGGCCACAUUGGAACUGAGAAACGGUCCAGACUCCUACGGGAGGCAGCAGUGGGGAAUAUUGGGCAAUGGGCGAAAGCCUGAACCCCAGCGACGCCGCGUGAGGGAAGAAGGUCUUCGGAUUGUAAACCUCUGUUGAUAGGGACGAAAAAAUGACGGUACCUAUCGAGGAAGCCACGGCUAACUACGUGCCAGCAGCUGC
rnacentral:rRNA from 1 species